UCUGGCGUCCGCUCUCGUACGAACGCGAGAUCCGCGAGGCUCGGCGAAUACGUCUAGUCGGGAUUUCAGGUCGGCGCAUGGAAUUGCGGCUUUAUUGGCGAUCGGGUGUUUUUCAUUCGGCUGAUCGAGUGAGGAUUUUUAAUCGAGGGGAUUCACUGAAUAAACUCAAAGUGAUUCAAAGUGAUUUAUAAUUUAAGAAAUUCAAGAAAAUCAUCGAACAAAAAUUUUGAGGUAUCGAGGAGGCGUGA